AGGAGAUCCCAUUUGAGGAAGCACCAUUCAGUGGUCCUGAUGUGAUAACUCAGGAUACAGAAACCAGCAUGAAAGGAGACACCUCUGGAUACAUCUGUGACGGAAUUCCCAGAGGGGCUUAACUGAGAAGGAAAGACCUGCUUUGAAUGGGUACUGUGGCCAGAUGCUCACAGUCCUGUCACAAGUGAAACAUCUCUUUAUAACCAUGCCUACCCACCACAAUGGACCACACCUCCCUGCUAGGUCCCAAGGCCACUAUUAGGUGAGCUGCUUUGCUCCCUGGGAUACUGUCCCAUGAUGCUCUUCUUCAGCUCCUGUUUGAGGCUAAAGAUGUGAGCUGCUGUUCCAGUUGCCUGCUGCCAGCUACCUCUGUUUCCCCAUCAUGCACUAGCAACUCUCUGGAACUUCAAGGCCAAAAUAAAUUCUUUCUU